UGCGCCACUAGAUGGCAUAUUUGGGGCAUACAGAUCCAGGGAGGAGGAGAAGAAGAAGUGCAUGUUGUUGCUGCUAGCCACGUACUCACUCUGCCUGCGGUGGAUUGUUUUAUUCUAUGUCAAUUUAAAACUACUUCGGUAAAUGUAUUAACUUUACACCGAGCCUCUUCAUUGCCUACUACAAAGCAACUUUAUGCACCAGUUCGUCACUGAUGGCUCAUCAACGCGGCGGCAUCCUCGUCAUGGGACAACGGGUUCAGAGUCAGGUGGUCAGCACCCAAACUAAAACCAUGGGUCAUGGUGAAGAAGGAUGAGAGACUGUUCUAUGUGCCCAGGAUUCGUCAGGAUGGUGUCCAAGAAUUACAUCCUAGCAGCACAGAACAGGACGCCAUCAUGAAGAAGUUGCCUGUGGGGCUUCGCUUGGGCUUUGCCAGCGCCUCACUAUCAGUGAUGCUGGUCUCCUUAUCCACCGUGCCUACCCCCACGUUCCUCCCUUGAUGCAUUCAUCUCCUGACCUGUACCUGUUGUGGUAGUAGUCAGUGAUGACACACAGUAGUUGUGAUAACAUACAUGUAUAUGAAAUAACUGAAAUGAUGUCCGUCCAGGCAUUUCCUUUGGUAUUUUAUUAUCCAGUAUAUGUAUGUAUCCAGUUACAUGGGUAUUUUGGUGCCUGGAUUAUACUGCAUGUAAGUAAUAAUAUGAACUCAGGUCAGGAUACCACAGUAGUUCAGACAACCAUUCAUUUAUAUAAAAUGCACAUGUGUUAUAUGUCAAUCCCAGGAUAGACGUCCCCUCAUAUCACCUUCGUAACCCUAAAAUGCAUGUGUACUUUGUGUCUAAAAAUAAAGUCUAUGAACAACUGAAUGAUCUGAUUAAUACAUUGAAAUGGUGUGGUGCAGACGCUGAAAUGGGGAAGUUAAUUGGUUUAACUUGGCUUGGUGUGCUGGACCUCGGUCUCUUCCAUACAUCCAAUCUCAGCCAUCAGGUCAUUGCUCUUCUCACCUGGAGAAAUGGAAAGAUAUACUUAAAUUACAAUUUUUAUCACAAACAACCAAGUUUAUCACAGUGAAUUGGUUACUGUCCCUGCAGCAUUUUGGGGCUAAGUGCCUUGCUCAAGGGCACUUCAGCCAUGAUGGAGAUGAGGAGAGAGGUAAGGAUGGGUUUCGCACCUGCCCCAAUAUCAAGACCACCUCCCUAACCAUUAGGCUGACUGAUGUCUCAUUUUGGAAGGCAGACAAUUUUGUGAAAACAUUAAGUGUUGCACUUAACAUUAAUUACAAGGACAACAUGAAGUGUGCAUCCCAAUAUGUGACCUUGCCUCCUCCACUUGUGCUUGUCUCCUCGUCCCACCUCCUGGCCCCUCCUCCGUGGAGAAAACGAUAAAGUUUCCCAGCUGUCAGCCUCGCCACAACAACUUUUGAGGGACUGUUUUUCAUUCACCAUCCCACUUGCAAAUGAGAAAAAGACUUUACAAUUGAGCUUUUGCAAGAUAUUGAAAUAUAAUGCUGUUGUCAGUGAUGUCAUCAUGACGAGAAGCAAGUGGAGGAGGCAAGGUCGCAUAUUAAAACGCACUCGAAGGCUGGGUAGACCUGUGCAGGUUAUGGAUAAUGUGACUGGCAUUUCAUGACAGCAUCCUAUGAAGAGUAAGCCUACUACUAUAGGAAAUUCGGCACUAGAGAUGUGUACACAUGGUUUACUUUUACAUUUAAACCAUAACACUGAACUUCAUAGCCUUUCUUUUUUACUAAGAGCACUAAAAAAAUGCCGUGUUUAUGUACACGCAUUACACAGCCCUCAAUAUCUCAGCAUAACAAUAUCUUAGCAUAGCGCCAGUUGCUGCUAUGGCAUAAGGUUAGCUAGGUAGAACAUAGCUCUGCAUCAUUGAUGCUUUCUUAUGGAAAGCAUCUUGAAUUGAAAUGUCAUCUACAUGACACCUUACACUUUAAUUGCCUAUAUUUUACGUAUUAAGAGGUUACAGUGUAAAACAAAUGUUGAAAGA